rnacentral:rRNA from 1 species
AUUGAACGCUGGCGGCAUGCCUUACACAUGCAAGUCGAACGGCAGCACGGGAGCAAUCCUGGUGGCGAGUGGCGAACGGGUGAGUAAUAUAUCGGAACGUGCCCGGUCGUGGGGAUAACGUAGCGAAAGCUACGCUAAUACCGCAUACGAUCUACGGAUGAAAGCGGGGGAUCGCAAGACCUCGCGCGAUUGGAGCGGCCGAUAUCAGAUUAGGUAGUUGGUGAGGUAAAGGCUCACCAAGCCAACGAUCUGUAGCUGGUCUGAGAGGACGACCAGCCACACUGGAACUGAGACACGGCCCAGACUCCUACGGGAGGCAGCAGUGGGGAAUUUUGGGACAAUGGGCGCAAGCCUGAUCCAGCAAUGCCGCGUGCAGGAUGAAGGCC